rnacentral:rRNA from 1 species
CCUACGGGUGGCUGCAGUGGGGAAUAUUGGACAAUGGGGGCAACCCUGAUCCAGCCAUGCCGCGUGUGUGAAGAAGGCCCUCGGGUUGUAAAGCACUUUCAGUGAGGAAGAACGCCUGGUGGUUAAUACCCAUCAGGAAAGACAUCACUCACAGAAGAAGCACCGGCUAACUCCGUGCCAGCAGCCGCGGUAAUACGGAGGGUGCGAGCGUUAAUCGGAAUUACUGGGCGUAAAGCGCGCGUAGGUGGCUUGAUAAGCCGGUUGUGAAAGCCCCGGGCUCAACCUGGGAACGGCAUCCGGAACUGUCAAGCUAGAGUGCAGGAGAGGAAGGUAGAAUUCCCGGUGUAGCGGUGAAAAGCGUAGAGAUCGGGAGGAAUACCAGUGGCGAAGGCGGCCUUCUGGACUGACACUGACACUGAGGUGCGAAAGCGUGGGUAGCAAACAGGAUUAGAUACCCUAGUAGUC